GGCUCUGAGGGUGCCAUUCUGGGUUUCUUUAAUUUCUUAUCACACAAAUUGGUCGCUCUGUCUCCUCUCUUUUUCUGUGGAAGAUGCCUGUUUGCUUCGUCUACUAAAAAAAUGUGAAAUUAUGAGGUUUUACCCUAUUUUGAUUAGAGAGUGAUAACUUUUUGCAGUCAGUGGUGAACUUCCUGGGCAGCUUAUCUCGUCCAAACAUUGUCAGGCUAAUGGGAUACUGUUUGGAGGAUAAAGAACUACUUCUUGUCCAUGAGUUCAAGCCAAAGGGUACCCUAAAGAACCAUCUCUUUGGAAGUAAGCUUCUUUCUUGGGCGAUAUAUACAUGCUUGCCUCAAAUUUAUGGUAAAUAUGAUCUUUUCUUGUUUCAAUGUACUACACAAAUCAUGUUUCUUUCCUGUUGCAAAGGGCGUCGGCCAUUAAACCACUUCCAUGGGUCACACGGAUUAAAAUUGCAAUAGGAGCAGCCAAAGUCCUCAUGUUCUUGCACUAGUUAGACAGGCAAAUAAUCUGCAGAGAUUUCAAGCCCUCAAACAUAUUGCUGGACUCAGUUUUCACAUAUAACACGAGAGUUAUCAUUGCAAAGCAUCUUCAAAACCUGAUUCGCCACCCAAGUAUGUUUUCAUUAUUUUUUGGUUGGGGGACUUUGUUGUUAUGCUCGUCUAAAAUUGCAUAUUCCCAAGCUACUCUUUUCAUAGGUAGUUUAUAAUACCAGUCAUUAGCCCGAGCUAAGCUUAUUAAAUCUGCAUUGUCCAAGUUUACUGGUGUAUAGAUCACGCUAGCAGUAGAAAAGAGACCUUAUUCACUUUGACCUUUUGUUUGGCAUGUGUUUCGACAGUCCUAUAAUGCCAAAAUAUCAGAUUUUCGUUUGGCAAGAAAAGGUCGAGACGAAGACAGAGCACAUGUGACGACACAGGUUAUUGGAACUUAUGGCUGCGCCAGCACCCAAGUACAUAGCCACAGGUAAUAUGAUGGGCUUUCUGAAUUGCUUGGGGUGAUCAUAGCAGAGAACAUUGCACUUUGGACUUAGUUUGACCAUGGCUGAAGCCAUGUUUAGCAAAUUCAUGCUAGAUUAUCACAUCAUUCUGGUUGAACAGGUCAUUUAUCUGUGAAAGGGCGAUGUCUAUAGCUUCGAGAUGGUACUGGUUGAGCUUUUGACUGGAAUGCAAUCGUAUGAUGGAAAUUGUCCGACUAAUUAGCAGAUUUUGGUGGAGGGGGUCUAACCUAAUCUUUCUAAAAGGUAAUUGAAUAGAAUCAUGGGCUCUCGACUGGAAGGGCAAUAUCCUCUGAAGGAUGCUCUUUACGUAGCCGCACUUGCAUUCCAAUGUCUCCGCUCCGCCCAAGCACCGGCCAUUGAUGAAUGAAGUCGUGGAAACCCUGGAAAGAAGUAGUUGCAGCUGAUAGGAAACACUGUCUCUUAGACGAUUGAUCCCAACUCGGCUGUCUUUCUCGGACACGGUCAGUAAUUCUUUAUUCAUCACCUCCGCUCAAUGCAGAUUCGUCUUCUGUACUCUAUGAACUAGCUUGGCCAAUGGAUAUGCUUGUUAGCACAA